GCUGGGGGCUUCUGUGAAAUCCGGGUGAAGGCUGUGCUCCACUCUGCAGCUUUUACCUGGAGGUCACCGCGGCUCCGGC
ensembl:miRNA gga-mir-1753 gga-mir-1753